UGAAGAGUUUGAUCAUGGCUCAGAUUGAACGCUGGCGGUAUGCUUAACACAUGCAAGUCGAACGCUGAAGGGUGCUUGCACCUGGAGGAGUGGCGGACGGGUGAGUAACGCGUAGGAAUCUGGCUAUUAGUGGGGGACAACAUGUGGAAACGCAUGCUAAUACCGCAUACGCCCUGAGGGGGAAAGGAGGGGACUCGAAAGAGCCUUUUGCUAAUAGAUGAGCCUGCGUUGGAUUAGCUAGAUGGUGGGGUAAGGGCCUACCAUGGCGACGAUCCAUAGCUGUUCUGAGAGGAAGAUCAGCCACACUGGGACUGAGACACGGCCCAGACUCCUACGGGAGGCAGCAGUGGGGAAUAUUGGACAAUGGGCGGAAGCCUGAUCCAGCAAUACCGCGUGUGUGAAGAAGGCCUUAGGGUUGUAAAGCACUUUCACUGGGGAGGAAUACCUCAAGGCUAAUACCUUUGAGAUUGACAUUACCUAGAGAAGAAGCACCGGCUAACUCCGUGCCAGCAGCCGCGGUAAUACGGAGGGUGCGAGCGUUAAUCGGAAUUACUGGGCGUAAAGCGUGCGUAGGCGGUUGUUUAAGUCAGAUGUGAAAGCCCUGGGCUCAACCUGGGAACUGCAUUUGAGACUGGACAGCUAGAGUUGAGUAGAGGUAAGUGGAAUUUCAGGUGUA
rnacentral:rRNA from 1 species